AUUGAACGCUGGCGGCAGGCUUAACACAUGCAAGUCGAGCGGGGUGAUGGUGCUUGCACUAUCACCUAGCGGCGGACGGGUGAGUAAUGCUUAGGAAUCUGCCUAUUAGUGGGGGACAACAUUUCGAAAGGAAUGCUAAUACCGCAUACGUCCUACGGGAGAAAGCAGGGGAUCUUCGGACCUUGCGCUAAUAGAUGAGCCUAAGUCGGAUUAGCUAGUUGGUGGGGUAAAGGCCUACCAAGGCGACGAUCUGUAGCGGGUCUGAGAGGAUGAUCCGCCAUACUGGGACUGAGACACGGCCCAGACUCCUACGGGAGGCAGCAGUGGGGAAUAUUGGACAAUGGGCGCAGGCCUGAUCCAGCCAUGCCGCGUGUGUGAAGAAGGCCUUAUGGUUGUAAAGCACUUUAAGCGAGGAGGAGGCUACUUUAGAUAAUACCUAGAGAUAGUGGACGUUACUCGCAGAAUAAGCACCGGCUAACUCUGUGCCAGCAGCCGCCGUAAGAC
rnacentral:rRNA from 1 species